rnacentral:sRNA from 1 species
UCUGGCGUUUAUGUCGGCUAUCUUGGGCGGCGAGGGUCCCAGCGGAGAAUCUUGGCCGUAGGGACGUCACCUCUGGUGUCUCUCCCCGCGGCAGCACCUCGCCCAGAACCCUGAAUAUCUUCGACCGGGAUUUGAAAAGGAAACAGAAGAACUGGGCGGCCCGGCAGCCCGAGCCGACGAAGUUUGACUACCUGAAGGAGGAGGUUGGAAGUCGGAUCGCAGACCGUGUAUAUGACAUACCCAGAAAUUUCCCCCUUGCUUUGGAUCUUGGUUGUGGAAGAGGUUACAUUGCACAAUAUUUGAAUAAGGAAACUAUUGGAAAGUUUUUCCAAGCCGACAUUGCAGAAAAUGCUUUGUUUGCAUUGGGUGAAUGACCUUCCUAGAGCACUUGAACAGAUUCAUUAUAUUUUAAAACCAGAUGGAGUGUUUAUCGGUGCAAUGUUUGGAGGUGACACACUCUAUGAACUUCGGUGUUCCUUACAGUUAGCGGAAACGGAAAGAGAAGGAGGAUUUUCUCCACACAUUUCUCCUUUCACUGCUGUCAAUGACCUGGGACAUCUGCUUGGGAGAGCUGGCUUUAAUACUCUGACUGUGGACACUGAUGAAAUUCAAGUUAACUAUCCUGGAAUGUUUGAAUUGAUGGAAGAUUUACAAGAAAAAAAGUCCAGAAUGUUGA